UUGACAUCGGAUACAGGUAGGAUACCG
rnacentral:rRNA from 1 species